GGAAUAUUGGGCAAUGCCCGCAAGGGUGACCCAGCAACGCCGCGUGGAGGAUGAAUGUCGUAAGAUUGUAAACUCCUGUUAGAGGGGAAGAAUAGUACCGGUUGGACCGGUAUAUGACUGUACCCUCAGAGAAAGCACCGGCUAACUACGUGCCAGCAGCCGCGGUAAUACGUAGGGGGCAAGCGUUGUCCGGAUUUACUGGGUGUAAAGGGCGCGCAGGCGGGAUAAAAAGUCAGUGGUGAAAUCCUACAGCUUAACUGUAGAACUGCCUUUGAUACUUUUAUUCUUGAGUUCGGGAGAGAGAGACGGAAUUCCAGGUGUAGUGGUGAAAUACGUAGAUAUCUGGAAGAACACCAGUUGCGAAGGCGGUCUCUUGGUCCGACACUGACGCUGAGGCGCGAAAGCGUGGGGAGCAAACA
rnacentral:rRNA from 1 species